GGGCUCAUAGCUCAGCUGGAUAGAGCAACGGCUUUCUAAGCCGUUUGUCAGGGGUUCGAAUCCCUUUGGGCUCACCA
rnacentral:tRNA from 1 species